UACGUAGGGCGCAAGCGUUGUCCGGAAUUAUUGGGCGUAAAGAGCUCGUAGGUGGCCUGUCGCGUCGGCUGUGAAAACUCGGGGCUCAACUCCGAGCUUGCAGUCGAUACGGGCAGGCUAGAGUUCGGCAGGGGAGACUGGAAUUCCCGGUGUAGCGGUGAAAUGCGCAGAUAUCGGGAAGAACACCCGUGGCGAAGGCGGCACGCUGGGACGGUACUGACGCUGAGACGCGAAAGCGUGGGGAGCGAACAGG
rnacentral:rRNA from 1 species